UGACGGAAAGUAAUCAUCUAGUGGAUGAGUCAAUUGUAGGUCUUCGAAACAGCAAGCGAUCGACGGCCGCGAUCAUGAUCGUGACCAUUUUCUCUAAUCGUGGUUGUUGAUCAUGAUCGUCGAUCCAACAAUCGAGCGAUCAUGAUCGGGGUACCCUAGGUUAGAGCAUGCUGGAUCACACGAAGACGCACAGAUUUGGCAAGUUAUCGAGCAUCCGAGAUGCGGAGGAUAAGCUGAGAUAGAACGAGCAAAAGGAAGAUCUGAUUGCUAGACUGGCAGGAAGAGCUCCACAAGAAAAGAGGAAAGAGGAAGGAAUGGAGUGUGUUAGAACAGGAGGCAGAUCCAUAGCAGCUGCCGAAUCCGUUCGAUGUCUGGGAGCCUGGGAGUAGCAUUAUCGAUCAUUUCCAUCCGAAUCUGGUGAUUGCUUAAUGCGGCUUACGGCCUUAAGAAUGGAUCGAUGCAAUGAUCCUAUUCAUGAAACGAAUGCACGGAAUAAGAAUGUGGAACGCAAAUUAUUGGGAAGGGAAAUGAAGAAAGAAACAGUGGACGGACACCACCGGAAGGAAAAUGGGGAAACGGACCAGUUGGACGCGUGCAUCAUCGGCCGCCGGCGCUCGCACCGCGCCAGAUCUGGAGAAGGAAGAAACCUAGGAAUCCGAAGAAGAUCAGGAGGAACAGGUAAUCCAGCGCCACGAAUACCGCCGCCGUCGAUUCUUUCCGGUGCCGCGCUUGCCGUCCUGAGGAGCGAAUCCCCUUCCCGCCUUCCCCCUCGCUGCCACGCGCCGCCUCCUCCUCCUCCCCCCUCCGCCAUUGCUGCCGCUCGCGAUGGUGAUCGUCCCCAUCCCCCACCGUCGC
rnacentral:lncRNA from 1 species